rnacentral:rRNA from 1 species
AACGAACGCUGGCGGCAGGCUUAACACAUGCAAGUCGAGCGAGGACUUCGGUUCUAGCGGCGGACGGGUGAGUAACGCGUGGGAACGUGCCCUUUUCUGCGGAAUAGCCUCGGGAAACUGAGAGUAAUACCGCAUACGCCCUUUGGGGGAAAGAUUUAUCGGAGAAGGAUCGGCCCGCGUUGGAUUAGGUAGUUGGUGGGGUAAUGGCCUACCAAGCCGACGAUCCAUAGCUGGUUUGAGAGGAUGAUCAGCCACACUGGGACUGAGACACGGCCCAGACUCCUACGGGAGGCAGCAGUGGGGAAUCUUAGACAAUGGGGGCAACCCUGAUCUAGCCAUGCCGCGUGAGUGAUGAAGGCCUUAGGGUUGUAAAGCUCUUUCAGCUGGGAAGAUAAUGACGGUACCAGCAGAAGAAGCCCCGGCUAACUCCGUGCCAGCCGCCGCCGUAAAAC